rnacentral:snRNA from 1 species
AUACUUACCUGGCAGGGGUGAUACCAUGAUCAUUAAGGUGGUUUGCCCAGGGUGAGGCUCAGCCAUUGCACNNN